UACCCGCGCGCCGAAAGGCGUGUCCCUCGGGGCACUGCGCUGCAACGGCCUGCGGGCUCCCCAUCCGACCCGUCUUGAAACACGGACCAAGGAGUCUGACAUGCGUGCGAGUCGAUGGGUUCUGAAACCUGGGAUGCGCAAGGAAGCUGACGAGCGGGAGGCCCUCACGGGCCGCACCGCUGGCCGACCCUGAUCUUCUAUGAAGGGUUCGAGUUGGAGCACGCCUGUCGGGACCCGAAAGAUGGUGAACUAUGCCUGAGCGGGGCGAAGCCAGAGGAAACUCUGGUGGAGGCUUGAAGCGAUACUGACGUGCAAAUCGUUCGUCUGACUUGGGUAUAGGGGCGAAAGACUAAUCGAACCAUCUAGUAGCUGGUUCCCUCCGAAGUUCACCUCAGGAUAGCUGGAGCCCAUUACAUGUUCUAUCAGGUAAAGCCAAUGAUUAGAGGCAUCGAGGAUGCAACGUCCUCGACCUAUUCUCAAACUUUAAACAGGUAGGAUGGUUUCAAACAGUGUACCCUUCCUACACAAACUGAAGGGCACGGUUCCUAUGGGGGGCUAAAACCCUCAGGUACUAUGAGGGAGGAGGGGUCCUCCCGGUUGGGCGUAUGGAACUCGGUUGGUUUUUCGUAUGAAAAACACCCGUUUUCGCGUAGCCCAACUCCUUCCCAACGUUGCCUCGGAUGUCCCGUCGUUAUGCCAUCACGAAGGUGUUGGCUCGGUCCCGUGUACGUCUCGUGAGAAAUCCUGACCCAACAGCCGAACGUGGCUCGGGAAAC
rnacentral:ncRNA from 1 species